GGGAGUCUUGGGAACAACAGAAAUACACAAAUAUACUGCAAAUGUAUGAAAUUUCUAAAACAAUUAAAUUAACUAAGAAGGAAGUAUGCCCAGAAUGUCAUUUCGUCCUCCACUGCCAAGUUCUUCCUCCUCCUAGUACCAGUCAGAUAAGUGACUCCCUCUACCAAGCUUCGCAAGAGGCUCCUCCUCUGUCCCCACUCACUCCUCCUGACCAUUGUUAUUUCUUUGAUACAAGAAGCUUCUGACUUAAUGGCUUAUAUUCUGCUUUUCCCCACCAAAUUGCCGUAUCUUAAGAGAUUAGGGGGCUUUAUUGGCAGCUGCCGUGCUAUUGCCUGGAGUCAAGUGUGUCGACCGUAGCCAACCACGGAUUCACUAAGACUCCAUGGGCAGCUGAUGCAAGCACGCACCAGGAGCUAAGGAACACUGACAAGGGAGGAGAUGCGUGAAAGAACAGAGGUGAGGAACAACCAACUCGACACGGUCUUGUCAGGGCUCCCGACUGAGACGUUAGGAUAACUAGAUGGCAAUGUGAGUGAGGACUUCUCCUUCUUGCUCUAUCCAACUUGAUCCAGUUUGGAUUGGACUUCCAUGUCACUUGUGAAUGACCAUGCUGUCUUUUACACAGCAGAAAAGAUAAAAUCCCAGAAAACUGGCUAGGCUCUGCCGAAGAAAAGACCUUGUGAUAAUGGAAGUUGCUCUGAAUUAGGCAGUUCUGCUGGGCGGCGCAGUGGGUCCCUGUCAUCCCAGGAGUCCAGGUAGAAGUGUAAAGGCCUCGUGCCUGGGUGAGUGUGUACUGGACAAGACGUCUUCUCUCCCUCCUUUCAUUGGGUCUUCCUGAGCAGAAUGUCGCGUUUCCUCACAAAGCCUUCUGGACGGCUCAGCUCUGCCGCUGUCCACCUUACACGUAGGGAGUUCUGUUUCUGUGGCUUGGACUCUUGCGUCUCCCUCUAUUUAAUGACCAUAUUAAUUUAUUUUCAUUCUGUUAUGUGACAUUUGAAAGCAUUAGUAGUAAUCUUUGUUCUUUCGAGAGGAAAGUCAGAAAUCUAACAAACGCACAAACAUGUAUACUCUUUUCCAGUAACUUAAACAAUAUUAGUUGGCUGCCAACUUAGGACACGUGUGUGAGAAAGGCCACUGAAACGUUUCUGUUCUGUGAAAAGGGAUGUCUAAGCAGCAGGUACGCAGACUGGUAAAGAGAUCAACGCUGAAGAUUCAGAACUUCUUUCUCUAGUGCAACGGUGACCGCCUGCACUGUCUGAACAGGAUGGAAAGGCAUCGAUCGCCAGCGCCUAAUGAAGGCCUCAUCAACUGUGGAGGAUGUGGAACCAUUUCAGCGUCUGCACGUAUGUUUUCAGAAGUAGAGACCAGGCGUGAGUCCCCCAGAGGAAGGACCGACGAGCAUGCCCUGCGCACUGUCUCCAGCAGGAAAGACCGGACAUCUCUGCUGCGCUGUUCAGUCUGCCUCCUCCUCUCCACUCCUCCAUCUGCCCUUCCCCGACUGAUGCAGGUAUCACCGCCCCGCCCUGCCUGCAUUCCACGGCUCUGAACAUGCUGCUUUUCUGUCGAGACUCUCCUCUGGAUACAGCCAGAUUGGCAGGACUACCGUCAUUUAUCAAAUACUGCUGAGUGGACUUUUCUCAUACUCAACUGCCUUUCUUUCCUGUGGUUUGUGUUAUUAAAGAGAUUUGACGUGCCUUGCCAUGCUGUGUUCGAGACUCAAAGGAUUCUAAACAAAAUCAGAAUACCAGCAGAGCCCAGGUUAAGGGAUGCAAAGGGCAUUGCAUCGGCCGCCCCUGGCUGGUUUCCCUUUACAGUGCCCGACUCCCUGAUCCAGCAGCCCAAGGCCAACGCUGGCCCUGAUGAUGUAUCAUAACUGGUCUUCAAUCAAGAUGUCACCCUCUCAGCUGAGCAAUAAAUCAUCUUGGGAAUAUGUAUAUCAGGCUUAUGAGUGCUGUACAAACUCAUCCCUGAAGAUCAGUAUAUGGGGAGCGUUUACUUCGUAGCCUCCCAGUGUGUGACUGGCACCAUUAAUAGGAUGGUGUCUGAUACAAGCCACUGGCAGCAAAGAUACGACCCCCACACGCACACAGCCACCAAGUAGGAAAAGAUGACUUCAUUUCUGUGAGAGUGGAUCAGAUAUCCACGAAGCUCUAGCUCUUGCUUCGGCAACUGAAGCGGUAUUUACAAGGAUAUUGCCGCAGCAAGGAUCCGAUUGUAUCUGGUCAGCUGGCCGGGGCGCUUUGGCUUUGUCAGACAAGCGUUUCUUUCCCUUGUCGUGACUUCCAGGUGCUACUGCUGAGCAAAUGGGGCAUCCCUGCCAGAAAAGGAUUUGAAAAGAACAGGAGCAACAGCAACAGAAAUCCUGAUUUGGACAAUCUGUGUGUUCUUGCCAUCCACAAAGGCUUGACUGUGGGGAGUGGGGCGGCUGGAGGAGGGUCACAGUGAGGUUAAGAGAAAAGCACCCAGGAAUUCUCUGUUGUUGAAAGGUUUUAAAGCUAACUGGUUUUGGUGGCCGCUGGAGAUACACCCCUUUCCAUCAAAUACGGAGAGAUCUCGAUAAUAGCAUGUACAAGUUGUCCCUCAGAUUUCCCCAAGAGGUGACUACAUUUACAAUGAAAAAAAAAUCACUUAAAAUCUAAAGUUUAGACAGUUAGCCCAACCAAUAAAGAGAAGGAUUCUUCUGUGGAGAGCCUGGCGGGGAUCUCAAAAGAUGCUACUGGUUAUCCAGAAAGGGAUUUAAAUUAACAAUGUAUGCUACUAACAAGUGAAAUGCUAAACACGUCCUACCUAUAUCAGUUGCUUGGUGGCAGAGUCUAGACCGGAAACAAAUUUAAACAUUUGUUAAGGCAUGCAAGCAUAUUUGCAGCAAGAUUCAAGUUCCAGCAUCAUACAACAGUAUGCUAAGCAUUCCUUUGUACUGGAAGGCAGAAUCUCUAGUACAGAAGUUGGAGAUUUUAUAGUUUUAUUCCUUGUUAUUUGCCAACAUUUAGCCAUAGAGCUGCAUGUAAGCUCGGAGAACAUUGGUGAGGAGCUCAAUAAAUCUAUUUGCCUUUGUUGGUUCGUGGGAGAGAUGGUUGUCAAGUGGGAGCUGCAGGAAAGAAUUCAAAACCUAGGGAAAAGGUAAGAGUCCAAGCUUUUAAAAAGACCCAAAGUGCUGUGGACAUGUUGGAACUUGCCCAUGGUUUUAAUUCACCAUUAUACUCUCUUUGAUAGUAGAUGAGCCACUGAAUACACACACACACACACACACACACACACACACACACACACACACAGACACGGCAUGUUGCUAAUUGAGCCAAGACUUUUCAACAUUGUGCACACACAUACACAUGUACAUGCUUAUGCAAGCACACAAACACACACACAUACUAUGUUACUAAUUAAGCCAAGACUUUGAAUCAUUGUGCGCACACAUACGUUAACUAAGCCAAGACUUUACAACACUGUGCAUACACACAGAUGCACACACACGUGUGCACACGCACAGAGACACGCAUACACACACAGACACACGGCAUGUUACUAAUUAGACUUUACAACAUUAGCCAGCAAUACCACUUCAGGCAUUGAUGAGGACAUUUCCUAAGCAGUGACAUCAAGGACAGGAACGCCAGUGCUCUCAAAGGCAGACUUGGAAUAGACCAGACUUCAUGUAGAAUUUUCUCUGUUACAAAAUGCAGUUCCUGCAUGCAGCUUUCAGACAUGCACUGUGAGUCCUCUAAAGCUCUCUUUAUCAUUUAAUAUUAUAAAUAAUUAUGUUCCUAGGCAGCAGUUCAAAGCUCAGUGUAGCACUUGUACAACACCCCAGGCAGGUCAGGUGACCUUUCUCCAAUCCUGCUCUCUCUGGUGCUGAGGACAGACAAAGUGAUACGUCUGUCAUACGCCAUUACCAUUAGAAGAGAAUCUUGUUCUUUUAUUACAACUGAACUCCGCCAGAUCUCUCAGCAGGAAUGCUAAGUGAAAUCAAUGUCUUGGAUUUCCAGGCUGAGCUCGGAGGUCGCAGCCUCUCUAUCAUUUCUCAGCAUUAUCCUUUCUCUCGCGCGCACACACUCCCUGAGCCUCCAACUGGCACACAGCAGAUUGAAAACAGCAUGAAUCAGAGGACUCAUGCUGCACAAUUUUACAGUCUUUUGGAGCCCCUCCUUUUGAUUCCCCCUUCCCUGGUUUUUUUUUCUUUUUGCAAAUUGCAAAUAAGUUUUGCUGGUGUCCUCUGGAGUUGGGAGUCAGAGGCAAUGGUCCAUCCAGGAGGAGGGUAGCUGGUGUAACUCAGAAUGCACCCUUCAUUUUUGACAGCUGUCCGUAGGAGCAUUGUUCAUCAGUCACCCCUUAAAUUGGACAUGCAACUCCACUGCUCCAAAGAGUAAAUAUACUGGUAAUGCAAGCCAUCAAUUCCCGUUAUGCCAAGCAGGUAUGCACAAAGCCAGGCAAAGAAACUGGCACCAACGAAAAACACAAACACACAGAAAACAUCCCCAAGAUACUGGUAGCUGAUUGUCUUAAAACAAAUAUGCUAAUAAAUGAUGCUCUUGAAUAAAUUAGCUCUGUGGAGUCACAAUAUCCAUCAUGCGAUGUGCAAACAUCAUUUCUAAGCUAGGAGAGAACUAGUGGGUUCUGUUUCUGUAUUACCAGUGGCAAUUUCGAGAGCUACAUUCAAAUAAUGUGACUUGGUGUCACGGCUCUUCUUAACUCCCUGUGUUUUUUUGUGAACUAUAUAAACAUCAUCAUAUUUUGGAAUUUCUUUCUGACAACCAAAGUAGUGACAGGCAGCAUGCUAGAGGACACUGGGCAAGGGACACACAUUUUUAUUAAAUUGUUGCUACUGGAAGAGCUCAGUUAAAUCUUUUAUAUGUGCUCUAAGUGUGGGUGGGAAGAGGAGCACCCACAAAGCUUUAUGUGAUAGAUAAGUCAUGAAGGCUGACUUUUAAAAAGUAAUUACACUUCAAAGAUAAACUAUAGCAUAUAUGUUUAUUUCCUGUGACUCGUGGUAACUGAAAAACACUCUUACUCUUUCACUCUGUGAACUGAAUAGAGACAUAAAAAACUAAGAUCUAGAAGAAUUUUAACCCUGCUGAAACCACUGUUCUCUUUGGUGUUGAAUCCAUAGGGUUUCGUGAGUACAUAAAACCGCUUGGCUUGCUCAGUCCUUUCCCAUUCACAACAAAGGAGACUUCAGUGGCCUUGACAUUUGCCAUUGUUACCUAUGGGAACACCCUUGUAGCGAAUGCCAGCCAGCCUGCUGAUGGAUGGACAGAUGGAUGAAUGGCUGGGGACUGAGCAGAGGCAAAGAUGGAAGAGGCUGUCUGGCAUUUAACGCUUCUUCAUUAUUUGUAUUAAGUGAGUGGGUUGAGAAGAUACUAAUGAUAAAGAGUUCACCCAGAAGUAAGGGGAAAUCCACUAAUCUUAUAAAACAGAAUCAGUCUACAGUACUGAGAGGCAGACUCUAAUGGAAAGCAUUGUCGUGGAUAGUAAUAUGAUGGGCAGCACACACAGCAAGGGGAAGAAGCAAAGUCUGUGUGUAGCAAGGACUCCACUGCUGUGUCUUUGUUUCGCUUAAAAUGUCUCUGUAACUCUAACCCUUUAAAAUAGUUAGCACGGGAGCCAUCAGAAUACCAGCACUUUAGAAAUCACCCUUGGUAACUGUUAUAACUGCCUCGGAGCUUUGACAUCUCCCGUGUGUCCAGAUGAUAAAGAGGAACAAGUCGAGCCCUAAACAUUAAGCAAGGAGUGUGUGAGGUCCUCCAAACAGCAGUUGUGACCUGAACGUGGCAUAUGUCCCCGCCCUGCGGUGCGGCGGUGUGCAGGGUUUUCCCCAGCCAUGGUCGCAGCUCCUCUGUCAGGUUAAGCUCAUGCACAAAUGUGUUCUCUUUAAUAGUUGACCCAGUGGUCCCUUUUCCAGGCUCCACUAUGGAGUUAGACAGCAACUAAGCUGAUGCUCUGAGCGCCCCUCCCAUUCAGGAUGAGCCUUCCUCGUUUCCUUCAUUCCCACACUCUGUGCUUGCUCCACCUGGACUCCCCUAAGAUAGUCUCAUGCCUCCUUCAUAGAGUGGAAGACAAAAGCAUGUUUCUAGACAACUAAGAAAGAUGUUUUGUGGAAAAAUUAUUAGCGGUGUCAAUUUUCUGGUUUGUAUUUUGUAAUAAAGUUAAAUAUUUGCAGUUAUUUUUGUGAAUAACCCCAGAAACCAUCACCAUUUGGCUAGCCACACUCACGUCACAGAAAGCUUAAUGUGUUCACACAACAGCAUACACGUAAAAUCUGCACAUACAAAGACUUUUCCCCCAAGGCUCUCUGCUCUUUUCUAAGAGGCAUUCAUCUUGAAUCCCCCCAGCCUUCCCCCAUGUUCUAAGGAAAUGUCUCCAGGCUCUAAAGCCAGAACCGUGUUUAAAUAGUCUCCCAACACUAUUACUAUCUUCAUGUCUUUACAUGAUAAUCUUGGUGGAUGGAUGGCAUAUCUAAAAUUACAGCUAUGCCAUUCCCAUACGCAUUAUAACAGUUAUUGAUAGUUUUUAAGAAACACUCCAUAUGUCUCAAUUCUCCUCAUACUUAAGUUUCUAUUUCAAUUGUUUAUCCCUUGGCAAACGUUUGCAUUUCUUGCCGAAGCUGCUCUCUCUUCCUAAUAAAUUCUAAUGUACUUUUAUCCAUAUAAGGCUUUGUGGACUUUAUUAUUGAUUAGUCUUUAGAUUAUAAAGGACGGCUAUUGGAUUGCUUAUAGAUAUCUGCUUUUAAGGCUAUAAACUCACUGGUUCAUAGAUGCACACUUCAGAUUCUCAUAACUAUCAAUACGUUUGUGGAGUGAAUAAGUCAAGUAUUAGAAAUGUAAAUUUACACAUACAACUGUUGCUCCUUCUAAAAGUCUUACCUCCAUGAACACCCUGAGUUUAGCCCAGUGGCUGGAAUCUAUGAGACCUUCAGCAAACACCACUGAGUGACCAGGAGAAGCCCAAGGAAAGAGAGAUGAGCUUGUU